AGAGUUUGAUUCUGGCUCAGAUUGAACGCUGGCGGAAUGCUUUACACAUGCAAGUCGAACGGCAGCACGGGAGCUUGCUCCUGGUGGCGAGUGGCGAACGGGUGAGUAAUGCGUCGGAACGUACCGAGUAAUGGGGGAUAACGCAGCGAAAGCUGUGCUAAUACCGCAUACGCCCUGAGGGGGAAAGUGGGGGAUCGCAAGACCUCACGUUAUUCGAGCGGCCGACGUCUGAUUAGCUAGUUGGUGGGGUAAUGGCCUACCAAGGCGACGAUCAGUAGCGGGUCUGAGAGGAUGAUCCGCCACACUGGGACUGAGACACGGCCCAGACUCCUACGGGAGGCAGCAGUGGGGAAUUUUGGACAAUGGGGGCAACCCUGAUCCAGCCAUUCCGCGUGAGUGAAGAAGGCCUUCGGGUUGUAAAGCUCUUUCAGCUGGAACGAAACGGUACAGGUUAAUACCCUGUGCUAAUGACGGUACCGGCAGAAGAAGCACCGGCUAACUACGUGCCAGCAGCCGCGGUAAUACGUAGGGUGCGAGCGUUAAUCGGAAUUACUGGGCGUAAAGCGUGCGCAGGCGGAUUGUUAAGCAAGAUGUGAAAUCCCCGGGCUUAACCUGGGAAUGGCAUUUUGAACUGGCAGUCUAGAGUGCGUCAGAGGGGGGUGGAAUUCCACGUGUAGCAGUGAAAUGCGUAGAGAUGUGGAGGAACACCAAUGGCGAAGGCAGCCCCCUGGGAUGACACUGACGCUCAUGUACGAAAGCGUGGGUAGCAAACAGGAUUAGAUACCCUGGUAGUCCACGCCCUAAACGAUGUCAACUGGUUGUUGGGGGGAGUGAAAUCCCUUAGUAACGAAGCUAACGCGUGAAGUUGACCGCCUGGGGGAGUACGGUCGCAAGAUUAAAACUCAAA
rnacentral:rRNA from 1 species